UGAUCACUCAGCAGUACCCAUUCCCUAGCUCCCUGCCCACCAAAUUGUCCAUUAAAAACCCUAAUCUCUGAGCCUUCAAGGAAACUGACUUGAGGAGUAACACCAUCUUCUGUGUGCCUGGCCUUGUGUCAAAUUUUUCUCUACUGCAAUGCUGAGGUCUCAGUAAAUCGAUUUUUGUCUGUGCAGUGGGCUGGAAGGAGUCAACAGGGACAAGGUGUCACCAUGUUGCCCAGGCUGGUCUUGAACUCCUGGGAUCAAGGAAUCCUCCUGCCUCAGCCUCCCAAAGUGCUAGAAUUAGAGACGUGAGGCACCACACCACCUACCUUUAUAUUUAAGCAACAGUUUGACUGCAUACAAAAUUCCUGGGUCACAUCUCUUUGCUGGAGGAUUUUAUUGACCAGCUAGCAGAACAAAAGGAAGAAAAAGAGCAACCUCAGCAGCUGAUGCAAGUGGUCGGGGAUACAAGCUGCUGAGCAUCAGGAAUACAUGCAGCUGAGCAUCGGAAACUACAGAUAGACACGGCUUCAGAGAAAGAGCAGUUUCUUCCCAUACCAUCCCCUUUCCAAUUCCCCAUCCUGCUGAGAGCCACUUUUAUCACACAGUAAAAUCUUCCAUAUACACU
rnacentral:lncRNA from 1 species